rnacentral:lncRNA from 1 species
AUGUGUGUUAGAUUGGGAGUUGUGGUCUCUUGAAGAGACACACACGCAGCAAAUUUUCUCACCUUUCAAGUCAGCAUCGAUUUCAAGUCAUACUUGGUUUCAAAUCAACACUUAUACAUCUCUUAAGGGGCCAUCAAUUUAACAAGUUUUGCGUAUUUGAAAUUGCCAAACGAUCACUUAAACAAUGAACACAUUCGUAAAACUUAUAAACACGUUAAAAGCUGUUAGAAGUUCUGUAAAGUAGUUCCAUAUUUAUAAAGAAAUGAUUAUAUCAAGAAAUAAUUGAAAGGAAUCCUCCAUUUUAAAUUUGUAUCCCAACAUAAUCGUAAAUUUUAGUUCAAACACAGCAUAGUAAGAAAUAUAUGAAUGACGCAUACUUUGAUUGCUAAUCAUGCUUAUUUAAUAUCUCUAUUCAAAGUUCAAACAUUUAUGUUGAAUUUAAAAGUGGUGGUUUAACCUAUAUCAGGAAUAACCUAGAGAAGAGUGGCGGUCCCUAAAGAGGUUAUAAAAGUGAUAUCUGCCUUAAUUGGAAAAAGAAGUCACCCGUAAUCUCUAGCGUAUUAAAAACGAGAUCGUACACAAUAAUCUCUACUGAUUUCAAUCAUAGUUAUCGAUAGCGAAUAGUGACAAAUAGAAGUUAAAAAUUAAAGAAAUAAAAAAUAGCUAUCUACAUAACUUUUUUUAUAUAUAUCGUUAGUUUUAUACCUUUUAUGUAUA